AUACGGAGGGGGCUAGCGUUGUUCGGAAUUACUGGGCGUAAAGCGCGUGUAGGCGGAUCGUUAAGUCAGGGGUGAAAGCCCGGGGCUCAACCCCGGAACUGCCCUUGAUACUGGCGAUCUAGAGUCCGGAAGAGGUGGGCGGAAUUCCCGGUGUAGAGGUGAAAUUCGUAGAUAUCGGGAGGAACACCAGUGGCGAAGGCGGCUCACUGGUCCGGCACUGACGCUGAGACGCGAAAGCGUGCGGAGCAAACAGGAUUAGAAACCCCAGUAGUCC
rnacentral:rRNA from 1 species